AAGAUUUUUAAUAUAAAACUUUUUUUAUUAUAUAAUAGAAUAUAUAUAAAAAUUCAUUAAGGAUAACAUAGACUUUAGCCUCUGUAAUUUUUAACGUGAGAGUUCCGUUGCGAAAAAUUAUUUUGCAAAUAAUAGUAUAGAUUGGGAUUAGCGUUGACUUCUAAAGACUAGGUAUAAAUUUCAAAUUUUUGAUUAGUUAAGGUAUGUUUUGGCAUGCAAUAAGAGUUGAGAUAUGUAUUUUUUUAUCGACCCCUAGUUCAGGCAUGAAUUUCAAAUUUUUUAUUAGUGAAAGUAUGUUUUGACAUGCAGUAAAAGUCGGGGUAUGUAUUUUUUCAUCGACCCCUAGUUUGGGCAUGAAUAACCCGUUUCUCCCCUUACCGGGAAAGGCUUUGUUGAGUUUGCUUCUGCUAACGAGGCAAUGAAGGCGCUGGAAAAGAAGAACUGUGAAUAUUUGAACAGUAGCGAUGUUGUACUUGCUGUUUUUGAGACACCUCCAUGCCACCGACGACCCAAGUAUUGCAUAGAUCACAAGGUUUGGUACCAAGACUACCUUCAACGAGAAAGCCUUGAGAUAAAAGAAGAUGUGGCGGCAGUGGAAAAAGGACUUGAUGAAACCUUCGCCGAAAAAGCCUUUGUGGUCAGAAGCC